rnacentral:rRNA from 1 species
UACGGAGGGUGCAAGCGUUAAUCGGAAUUACUGGGCGUAAAGGGUGCGUAGGUUGUUGUAUAAGUUAACUGUGAAAUCCCUGGGCUCAACCUGGGAAGGUCAGUUAAGACUGUAUGACUCGAGUAUGGGAGAGGGUAGUGGAAUUUCCGGUGUAGCGGUGAAAUGCGUAGAGAUCGGAAGGAACACCAGUGGCGAAGGCGGCUAUCUGGCCCAAUACUGACACUGAGGUACGAAAGCGUGGGGAGCAAACAGG